rnacentral:rRNA from 1 species
GACGAACCGUGCGAACGUUGUUCGGAAUCACUGGGCUUAAAGGGCGCGUAGGCGGCUGAUCAAGUCAGGGGUGAAAUCUUUCGGCUCAACCGGAAAAGUGCCUUUGAUACUGGUCAGCUUGAGGGAGGUAGGGGCAUGUGGAACUUCCGGUGGAGCGGUGAAAUGCGUUGAUAUCGGAAAGAACGCCGGUGGCGAAAGCGACGUGCUGGCCCUCUUCUGACGCUGAGGCGCGAAAGCUAGGGGAGCGAACGGG